GCAUGCAAGUCGUGCGAGAAGCCCUUCGGGGUGGACAGCGGCGGAAGGGAGAGUAACGCGUGGUUACAUGCCCUCGAGACCAGGAUAGUAACGGGAAACUGUUAGUAAUACUGGAUAACAUCUUCGGAUCAAAUGGUGUGAUUCCGCUCGAGGAUUGGACCGCGUACUAUUAGCUUGUUGGCGGGGUAAUGGCCCACCAAGGCUGCGAUGGUUACCGGGUGUGAGAGCAUGACCCGGCUCACUGGGACUGAGACACUGCCCAGACACCUACGGGUGGCUGCAGUCGAGAAUCUCUGGCAAUGGGCGAAAGCCUGACCAAGCGACGCCGCGUGCGGGAUGAAGGCCCUCGGGUUGUAAACCGCUGUCAGUUGGAAGGAAAUGCUACGGGGUACUCCCCGUAGUUUGACCGAUCUUCAGAGGAAGGACGGGCUAAGUACGUGCCAGCAGCCGCGGUAGUACGUACCGUCCGAACGUUAUUCGGUAUCACUGGGCUUAAAGCGUUCGUAGGCGGCCUGGUAGGUGAGGUGUGAAAGCCAACGGCUCAACCGUUGAAUUGCGCUUCAAACCACCAGGCUCGAGGAAGACAGGGGUGUUGGGAACUUAUGGUGGAGCGGUGAAAUGCGUUGAUAUCAUAGGGAACACCGGUGGCGAAGGCGCAACACUGGGUCUUUUCUGACGCUGAGGAACGAAAGCUAGGGUAGCGAACGGGAUUAGAUACCCCGGUAGUCCUAGCCGUAAACGAUGAACACUGGGCUGAGGGGACUUCCACAUCCUCUCGGCCGUAGCGAAAGCGUUAAGUGUUCCGCCUGGGGAGUAUGGCCGCAAGGCUGAAACUCAAAGGAAUUGACGGGGGCUCACACAAGCGGUGGAGGAUGUGGCUUAAUUCGAGGCUACGCGAAGAACCUUAUCCUAGACUUGACAUGUUUUAGAAUCCCCAUGAAAGUGGGGA
rnacentral:rRNA from 1 species